AUUGAACGCUGGCGGUAUGCCUUACACAUGCAAGUCGAACGGUAGAGGGGCAACCCUCGAGAGUGGCGAACGGGUGGGUAAUACAUCGGAACGUGCCCAGUCGUGGGGGAUAACGUAGCGAAAGCUACGCUAAUACCGCAUACGACCCGAGGGUGAAAGCGGGGGACCUGCAAGGGCCUCGCGCGAUUGGAGCGGCCGAUGGCAGAUUAGGUAGUUGGUGGGGUAAAGGCCCACCAAGCCUGCGAUCUGUAGCUGGUCUGAGAGGACGACCAGCCACACUGGGACUGAGACACGGCCCAGACUCCUACGGGAGGCAGCAGUGGGGAAUUUUGGACAAUGGGCGAAAGCCUGAUCCAGCCAUACCGCGUGCGGGAAGAAGGCCUUCGGGUUGUAAACCGCUUUUGUCAGGGAAGAAAUCUUCCGGGUUAAUACCUCGGGGGGAUGACGGUACCUGAAGAAUAAGCACCGGCUAACUACGUGCCAGCAGCCGCGGUAAGAC
rnacentral:rRNA from 1 species